rnacentral:rRNA from 1 species
AGUGAACGCUGGCGGUAGGCCUAACACAUGCAAGUCGAACGGCAGCACAGUAAGAGCUUGCUCUUACGGGUGGCGAGUGGCGGACGGGUGAGGAAUACAUCGGAAUCUACUUUUUCGUGGGGGAUAACGUAGGGAAACUUACGCUAAUACCGCAUACGACCUACGGGUGAAAGCAGGGGAUCUUCGUACCUUGCGCGAUUGAAUGAGCCGAUGUCGGAUUAGCUAGUUGGCGGGGUAAAGGCCCACCAAGGCGACGAUCCGUAGCUGGUCUGAGAGGAUGAUCAGCCACACUGGAACUGGGACACGGUCCAGACUACUAAGGGAGGCAGCAGUGGGGAAUAUUGGACAAUGGGCGCAAGCAUGAUCCAGCCAGACCGAGUGGGUGAAGAAGGCGUUCGGGUUGUAAAGCCCUUUUGUUGGGAAAGAAAAGCAGCAGGUUAAUACCCCGCUGUUCUGACGGUACCCAAAGAAUAAGCACCGGCUAACUUCGUG